GAGGGAUGCAGAUUCCGGUGUGCCAGCCCAUCUUCUACAGCAUUCAAGAACAGUAAAGGCUAUGAAGCCCACAGGAGGAUGAAGGACAAGUCUAGCACUGCUCUCUUCCCUGCUCCAGGACUGUCACCCUUCAAACAGAGGCAUUCCAGGCUGAGUCGCCGUGGGGACACCCCGCUCUUCUGUCAGCGCGUCAGGAGGAGGGAGAGGGCGUCGUGCUGACAGGCCGGGCUUUCUUGAAAGGCGGCUGAAAGCCCUGGAUGCCAACUUUCUCAUUCAGCUAUUGGGAACGGGGCAUCUGAUUGCCCUGGCUGCCUUCGACAGGCUCCGCUCGUCAGGGCUGCAGCUGCCAGCGCGAGGGGCUGUUCCAGCACCCCGGGGCCAGGUCGCUCGCCCGCGCCAGGCGCUCGGCAGCUGCAAGCGAAGGGCCUUCGCGCCUGCAGCAUCUCAAAGUGCACAGCCCUGUUUGCGGUGACUGUCAAGCCAAGAGGCAGCCUAAGACCAGAGCCUUGCUGGCAAUGAAUUUGGAGAGGUUGCCUUAGCUGAAGUAAUCUGCUUGCUGAGGACGGCCAGUCCAACCAUGGCAGAGCCGGAGAGACGCAGCAAUGCGUGAAGUUCGUCCUCCUGUAAGAUUAAACACGUGUCCCCUCUGGGGCUGCCUGCAUCCUUAGGAAAGGCUACAAAGAUGGAAACACAACUGCAGCCGCUCGUUCUGUGGAUGAACCGGCAGCUGUGCGAAGUGUUUGUGGUCAGUGCUGGGGCUGUGUGACCAAGCACUCCAUUUAUCACCCUUCCACACACCAAGCAACCGUGUCUCCUCAUCUCCCUGCCCAAGAAAGCAGGCAAGCGGCUCGUGUUGAAGCGCGGUGCGAACCUGGCUGGGAGCAGAAGCUGGCUGGCAUUUGCGUGGCCCCGGCAAAGAGCAGCGUCGCUGGUGUUAAUUUGAGAAUUGGUCUUGUGCUGUUAUGGCUUUGUGUCCUGGCUGCAGGUUGACCACUCGCUUUGCUUGCUGGGUGUCAGUGCCUCCUUGCUGGGUGAUAGCGCUUGGGGAGGGGGGCUCUGACCCAGUAGCCCCCAGUGCUGUGCCAGGGAAUGCUGCUCACGGUUGCUGUGGUGGGGGGUCUGCUGGAGAGUAUUUCUUGACCAUAGCUAUAUAAAUUCAAACAGAUGUAUUUUGAAAACUUCAGCUUUGAGGCAAACUCUGCGUUUGAGCUGUUUUGGUUAAGAAUAAAUUGCACUUCAGUGCAAAUGGUGUUUUCAAAGUGAAAA